CCUACGGGUGGCAGCAGUGAGGAAUAUUGGUCAAUGGGCGAGAGCCUGAACCAGCCAAGCCGCGUGAAGGAUGAAGGAUCUAUGGUUUGUAAACUUCUUUUAUAUGGGAAUAAAGUGAGGAACUUGUUCCUUUUUGUAUGUACCAUAUGAAUAAUCAUCGGCUAACUCCGUGCCAGCAGCCGCGGUAAUACGGAGGAUGCGAGCGUUGUCCGGAUUUAUUUGGUUUAAAGGGUGCGUAGGUGGUUAAUUAAGUCAGCGGUGAAAGUGUGUGGCUCAACCAUAGAAUUGCCUUUGAAACUGGCUGACUUGAGUAUAGGUGAGGUAAGCGGAAUGCGUGGUGUAGCGGUGAAAUGCAUAGAUAUCACGCAGAACUCCGAUUGCGAAGGCAGCUUACUAAACUAUAACUGACACUGAGGCACGAAAGCGUGGGGAUCAAACAGGAUUAGAUACCCCAGUAGUC
rnacentral:rRNA from 1 species